UCCGGUUUGUCACCGGCAGUCUCAUUAGAGUGCCCAACUGAAUGUAGCAACUAAUGACAAGGGUUGCGCUCGUUGCGGGACUUAACCCAACAUCUCACGACACGAGCUGACGACAGCCAUGCAGCACCUGUGUUACGGCUCCCUUUCGGGCACACCCCCCUCUCGAGAGGCUUCCGUACAUGUCAAGGGUAGGUAAGGUUUUUCGCGUUGCAUCGAAUUAAUCCACAUCAUCCACCGCUUGUGCGGGUCCCCGUCAAUUCCUUUGAGUUUUAAUCUUGCGACCGUACUCCCCAGGCGGCGAACUUCACGCGUUAGCUGCGGUACUAAGGAAGUCUCCUUCCCCAACACCUAGUUCGCAUCGUUUAGGGCGUGGACUAC
rnacentral:misc_RNA from 1 species